GAUGAACGCUGGCGGCGUGCCUAAUACAUGCAAGUCGAGCGGACGGACGAGAAGCUUGCUUCUCUGAUGUUAGCGGCGGACGGGUGAGUAACACGUGGAUAACCUACCUAUAAGACUGGGAUAACUUCGGGAAACCGUAGCUAAUACCGGAUAAUAUUUUGAACCGCAUGGUUCAAAAGUGAAAGACGGUCUUGCUGUCACUUAUAGAUGGAUCCGCGCUGCAUUAGCUAGUUGGUAAGGUAACGGCUUACCAAGGCAACGAUGCAUAGCCGACCUGAGAGGGUGGUCGGCCACACUGGAACUGGGACACGGUCCAGACUCCUACGGGAGGCAGCAGUAGGGAAUGUUACGCAAUGGGCGAAAGCCUGACGGAGCAACGGCGCGUGAGUGAUGAAGGUCUUCGGAGCGUAAAACUCUGUUAUGAGGGAAGAACAUAUGUGUAAGUAACUGUGCACAGCUUGACGGUACCUAAUCAGAAAGCAACGGCUAACUACGUG
rnacentral:rRNA from 1 species